rnacentral:lncRNA from 1 species
UAAUAAUGAAUUUAUGUUUUGCAUAAUAAUAAACUUUUUAACAUUCUACUUGCAGAAUAUAUAUAGUCUCUAAGGUCUCUAACGAAAAAGUGGUCUCCUUAGAGCUUAAUCUCUCCUUACAUAUACAGAAUUAGACAAGAAACUAUGUUAACAGACCCAAUAAGUACAAGAUCCACUGAACUUCCUUGGUUUAAAAGAACUCCGGACUGCUGAAUUACACAAUACCAUUAAGCAGUAAACAAGCUUACCCACCAGCAUACUAAGUUCAGGGAACCAUGCCAUAGCCGAAGACACUUGCAGAUAUUAAAUUGGGCAGAGUGCAGAAACCUGAGGAAAAAAAAAUACUUACAUCAGAUAUAUUUGUUAAGAAGAUAAAACAAAAACUUUACGAGGAGAAUCACGAAGUUGUAAAUAGCUAAUUAUCAGUAAUAAUAAGUUGUAAGUAGCUAACUAUCAGUAAUAAUAAGUUGUAAACAGACAAGAAUAAUUACUGAACGAAACAUUUGGUCCAUUAUAAGCCAAAAGCAGCCACGAUGGACUGCCAUGAAGCAGACAAGAAUAUACGGCACAUCUGUU